rnacentral:rRNA from 1 species
AUUGAACGCUGGCGGCAGGCUUAACACAUGCAAGUCGAGCGGUAGCACAGGGGAGCUUGCUCCCUGGGUGACGAGCGGCGGACGGGUGUGUAAUGUCUGGGAAACUGCCUGAUGGAGGGGGAUAACUACUGGAAACGGUAGCUAAUACCGCAUAACGUCGCAAGACCAAAGAGGGGGACCUUCGGGCCUCUUGCCAUCAGAUUUGCCCAGAUGGGAUUAGCUAGUAGGUGGGGUAAUGGCUCACCUAGGCGACGAUCCCUAGCUGGUCUGAGAGGAUGACCAGCCACACUGGAACUGAGACACGGUCCAGACUCCUACGGGAGGCAGCAGUGGGGAAUAUUGCACAAUGGGCGCAAGCCUGAUGCAGCAAUGCCGCGUGUGUGAAGAAGGCCUUCGGGUUGUAAAGCACUUUCAGCGAGGAGGAAGGUGGUGAGCUUAAUACGCUCAUAAAUUGACGUUACUCGCAGAAGAAGCACCGGCUAACUCCGUG